GGCGCAGGCCCUGCGCGCCCCCCGCAAACCGCUUUGAGCGAAGGAACGCAUUCCUGGCUCUGUUCUACUAUUGUUCUUUCACCGGCUGGGCCCCUAACUGGCUGUUAUCUCCCUGAUCCUCUCAGGCCCUUUUCUGAGGUCUACAAAUCAGAAAGCUGGUUGGAGAAGAAGAAACUGAAGCUCCAACAGUUCAAAUGUCCAAAGUCACCAACAUGAAAGAACUCACAUCAAGUUCCAGUCCAGGAGCUUCAAGUCUGAGGACAAAUUAUCAGAAGAUACAGAGAAGCCAGAGUUAGAAUCAAUCAUUAAAUGGACAUUCGUCCCAAGGCCACUAAAGGAAAUAAUGAAAGGAGAACCACCCAUCUCACGAGUAGCCAGUUCUGGAAUUUACAAAACGGAAACAUCAUAUAGGACUACUGGACCCAGUUAAUGCACCUCCACAGUUCUGCUCAGAUAAGGCUGUGCCAAGGACCUUGGUAACAUGCCCUGCUUCCUGGUCCCCAUGGAGCCAGAAGUAGUUCAUGUUUCUGCUGGGCCGGUAAAGCCCCUGCCAUGAUGCUUAAAACUAUUGAUUUUAACAGUCUUUACCAAGGACAAGGACCUUCAGCAUUGGGAUGCAGGAGCUCUAGUAUCUAGGUCCUACCCAACUGGACCCAUAGAAGCUCUAGCUUCUUUAGCAGCUACACAGAGAAUCUGAUGCUAAUACCCCAUGGAGUGAUCUUUGAACAACAGAAGAUGAGGAAAAACUGGCAGAUGCAUUGUUCAUCUUCCCAUACCACCUCCAGGGGAAUGUUCGGAGAGAACUCUACUGGUCAGCAAAGGAAGUCCCCUUCCCACCUACCAGAGGAGAACAAACUCCCCUUGCCUGGAGAUUGCACAAAGACUUCACCUGAAGCGUGUGUCUCUCAAUAUGACUCUUUUUAUUUUUUCAAAUGGUCUGUCCCUCUACUCCUCAUUGUGACCAGGGUAGGUGACAACACUUAAUGGUCUGAGGCAAAGUAGAUGUAAUUAUUCAAACAGGGAUGUUGGAGUGGGACUGGGAAUCACAGCGUUUGAUCCACAGGAAUUUACAGCAAUUAUGUUUGGAAAAGUCAGAAAAGACAAAGACGUGUUUAGAUAACUGCGGUGUUGCGUGAGUUGUGUAAUUAAAAAUAUCAAAGUCUGAAGAACUGAAGGAAUCUGAUGUCAACAGCUACAAUGGAAAUUCAAGUUUCCUCACCCUGUUUCAAGACCUAAGUUAAUUCGCAGACUCAGAGCCAUAUGAUUGAUUGAAAGGGAGGCAUGGUAAGUGGAGUGAAGUAAACCGGGUAGGUAUUUCCCCAUUCCUUCCCCGAAGGGACUCAUGGCCAAUUUGCAGAGCAACCAUGCACUGGGGAUAUGAAAAUCUGAGCAUCCAUUGAUCUAAUUAGCCCUAAAAUGCCUUUGUGUUCUUCUUGUUAGGAAGGACACUUUAAAGAGAUUUGAGGAGAAGCAAUAGAUGGAGAAAACUUCCAAAAAUAUGGGUGGGGCUAGAAUGGAACACCCAGAGACACUUUUGAAACCAGGGUAAGGCUGGUGGAGGCAAUAAUUAUACAUACCUAGAGAAGUUAGCAAAGGAAAAAGUAUAUGGCAAGAUGGAAACCAAGAGAGGAAAGAAUUUCAAAUAGGAAAUGGCUUGUCAAUAAACAUUCUGUAGCAAGAUCUCCAUUUGCUCUGAGGAUUAACUCCUGAGGGUUUAUUUCCAUUUGUAGAGCAGCAGAAGACAAGUUAUGCCCACAGCAGUUCACAAUUAAAAGGCAAUUCUUUUUUUUCUUUCCUUUUUCAAAUGGUUCUCAGGAAGAAACGGGGAAGGCUUAUUGGAGUGGGCCUAGGACAGGGCAAGAACAGAUGCCUGGAGCGAAGUUUUGGCUGGUUGGAAUAUGGCGCUGAUGGAGAGACAGAUUGGCUUAGCUCUCGUUACACUUCCUUGUAACAUUAUGACCUUGGGCAAGAGUAUUAAAAUUAGAAGGGGUCUUGGAAGUCAUUAAACAGAAAAGGAAUUUUGAAGAGUGUUUUAGCCUGGGCUCCCUGGAAAACAGAGCCUGAAGCAAAGUUUACAUGCUAACACUUUAUCACAUUAUCCAAUCCCAUGCAUAGGCAAAGGGAAAGGUGAAGUGAUUCAGAGCACGAAGAAAAGACAAAAGCAAAUAUGGGGUAUACUUUACCCAGAUGCCCACAUCAUCCCAAGAAAAUGCAACUCUUUGCUUGGCCAAAUAAGAGUCUUACAAAUUAUUAAAAUUAAUAAGUGGAUUUAUCAAGAUCAAUAUAAAAUUGAAUUAAUGUACAUAUAUUGGCAACAAACAAUCAGAAAAGUAAAUAAGUUGAGAAAAAAGGAAAGGUUGUAUCUCUUAUGCUGUUGGAGUAACGUACAUCCCACCUACUUCCACAGAGUCUAGAAUAUACAUUGUUUACAAUCAGCUCUGAAUUUUCAGUUACACAGAAAUGUCCUUAGGAAAAUAUUCAAGCAACUUCCCUGAAAAAAGAUUGUGAUGGUAAAGAAUGUCCUGUGACCAUUUGUAGAGCCUUAGUAAACUGUCCACUGAUGGUUGAUAGCUUUGGGUUUUCAAGAAAAGAGUGUAUCUUCUCAUGGUAAGCUAUAAGCAGAACCAUUUCAAAAUUGUCUCCAGGUUCUUGACUGAACCAUCUCACUGGUCUACCUAAACAUCUUCAUCAUACAACCCAAAUAAAUCUCAUCCCUUUUUAGUUCUCCCCAGUAUAGCACUUGCAUUCUGUUUGGUCCUCCUCCACCUGGACCUCUGUCCCAUUUCUAUGACUCCUUAGGACUUCACAGAGCCUCAUAUAACACAAGCCUGUUGAAGUUGGAAGUCAAUGUGUGUAUCAACAAGAGAUUAUUAUAUUGACACAAAUAUAGACACAGAGAUUUAAGUAAUUGAAGCAAGCCAUUCAUGUUUAAACAACAUGAAAAUAACAGUUUUACCUCCCUGAGCCAUCACUAUUCAUGCAAGUGCUUCCCAAUCUGUUGUAGAAGUUAUCACCAGCACCAGCUAUCACUUCUUGCUUCCUCCCAAGACACUGGGUCUAUUUUCCUUGAUAAAUCUGAAGACUUUUUCUUAAAGGACCCCCUUUUAAAAGCUGGUAAGUUACAGAUUUAAAAUGUAUUUUCAGUUUCCCAAAUUUUUCUACCAUCUAACCAGAGAGUCAUGCCACGUUUUUCUAACCAAAAUGCUAUAGCAUUUUAACCAUCAGAUAAUCCCUCUGAAGAGUGUAUAAAAAACCUGGAGUGCACGAAAAGAACUAUUUUGAGAGUUGUUUAAAUAGUGCCAACCUUCGGUCCCCUACACCACCUACUUGUAUGUAAAGUUCUGAC